ensembl:lncRNA
CCGGCUGCUCCGGCUUCUCCAGAUCUCAGCAAGUUCCGGGGGCCGGUCUCCGCGGCCAGGCUCUCGGCGUCGAUAAAGAUUGGAGGGUCCUGGCCACCACAAAGACGACAGGCGUGAGCCGCCGGCGUGUGCUUGGAACCGCAGCGUGCGGCGCGCGGGCUCAGUGGCCGUGUGGCCGCAGCGCUCAGAGUCUGGAGGAAGAGGCUCGGGAGCAGAGAAACGCCGCCGGACAGAGAGGCACCCCGGGGCUCCGUCCCAGGUUUGCUUCUCAUCGGGAGGAGUGGUCUUGACCAAAUGAUUCCUCCCCUUCAUCCAAUAAUAAGAGCAGGGAAUUUGCUGUGUGCCACGAACAAUGCCAAGGACUUAAUGUGCCGGGUCUCAGGAGAACUGAGCUAUUCAGGAGGUCAGAGCUUCUCCAGUGAUGGAUUCUGGAGAGAGGAGGCCAGUGGAGCAGGAAGAAGACCUUGCCCCCCUACACUAGAUCGGGAUGGAUGUUCCUAAAGGAGUAGAAAAGGGAGGUAUGCACUCAGUCUUGGCCUGCUCACCUGUCUCCUCCCCUAAUACCAACCAAGUGGCUGAGUAAUUCCCCUGCCCUCAAUUCCCUUCUUUUCACAUUAGAGACUCUGGGGUUUAAAGGAACUUCCCAGGUGUCUCAGUGGUGAAGAAUCCAUCAUCUCAAUGCGGGAGACGUGGGUUCGAUCCCUGGGUCAGGAAGAUCCCCUGGAGGAGGAAAUGACAACCCACUCCAAUAUUCUUGCUGGGAUAAUAACCCCAUGGACAGAGGAGCCUGGCGGGCUACACUUCAUGGGGUCACAAUGACAGGACUGAGUAUGCAUACACGCUGGGGUUUAAAUUUCUAAAGAGACUUUAUAUAGCAUUUGCCUUGAUCAUCUGUUUUGUUUCCUUUACAGACCCUCAGGGUUCAGUCUAACCUCACUGCUUCAGCUGCAGCCACUGUCACUUGCCAGAUUCCACAGCUACCUUUCUCAGAAUAAGGACAUUUCCUGUUGAAGACUGUGGGAUGCUGCCCCUCAUUUCUCUCUUUCUGGAUGCUCAACACUCCUGUGCAAGUCUGACAGGACCCAACCUGACCUGAGGGUGAUGGGCUAGACUGGACUCACCACCUCAAUUCUUCCCCAGGACAGAGUCAUGACCACUAACCCAAUCCCAGAGUCCCUGAGAGGGUGCUGCCCAAGGAAGCAGCAUCGGUCUGUGCUGUGUGCUCCACAUUCCAGAAGCAAAUUUCUCUUCCAGUUUUACUUUAGCUGACUCUGAUUUUAAAACGUGACUUUGAGUCCUCAGAACAAUGAGUUGCAUAAUUUGGAGGCAUAUGUAGUAGACCGGAUGUGUGACCCCACCCCUAAUGUGUCAUGCCCUGACUGACUGAGCUGUUCUCUUCUCACAGGAAGGUGAGCCACACAGGAUGGUGACUGCAUGGCAGGCCACUUUAAAAUAGUUUCUGUAAUUGAAAAUGUUAUAAAGCCACCUGGUUAAAAAGAAAUUCAAGCACUAGAGAAAAGUAGACAGUGAAGAUUCAUUUCCGUCACCCCUCUCCAGAAAUCAUCUCUGCCUGCUCAUGACAGAAACGUCCCAUCAUUGAGCUCUUCUGCCAGACAGGCCUGGAUUUCCCAUGCCUCAACAAGCCCUGUGAAUAUCUUCUCUCUCUCUUUUUUUUUUCCCUCAAAUUCUUAUUCUUUGGCCAAUUUAGAUUCUGUUUUGGGGUAUUCUGAAGUUUCGCUUUUCACAGUGUGCUUCAGGGGGAUCCCCCCAGCAAGGCAGGAAGCGUGGUGUGGUGCACAUUGACAGGAAGCUGGCAGACAAGAACAGCUCUGGGAGGCUACUGACUUCAGCCUUGUCCCCUAGCUAGUCUCUUGCACACGUGGUCUCUGGCAAGAGGACGCCCACUUCUGGGUGGGGCAGAAUGAGGGAGACUUGCUCACAAGGAGGAUGUGCUGCCGCCACCUGGGAGGGAAAGAUUGUGGAGAAGCUGUCGGGGAAACUGCUAGGGAGGUCAGGAGGGAGGGCAGACUGUACCCCUCCCCCGCCCUCUGUAAGUACCCCCGUGGAAGGAACCUAACAAUCUCCUGAACUUCUGUCUCAGUUUCUGAUCUGUAAGGAUUAAUGGUGCCUUAGAGGUGGCUGUGCAGGUGGAGUAGAUAACUGACAUGAAAAUGGGAUGGUUUGAUUCUUCUGUUUACAUCCAUUUAUCUCUUUUCUCUUCCUAUUUCGCCUUCCUCUUUUUCAUCUCAUUCCCCUGGAUCUGAAGAGAAACCAUCAGCAAUGGAGAAACAGACAUAGACAACAGACCUAUGGACAUGGAAGGAAGAGAGGAGGGAGAACGGGAGAUGUAUGGAGAGAGUAACAGAAAUUUACAAUAUUGUGUGUAAAAUAGAUGCUGCUGCUGCUGCUAAGUAGCUUCAGUCGUGUCCGACUCUGUGCGACCCCAUAGACGGCAGCCCACUAGGCUCCCCUGUCCCUGGGAUUCUCCAGGCAAGACACUGGAGUGGGUUGCCAUUUCCUUCUCCAGUGUAAAAUAGAUAGCCAAUGGGAAUUUUCUGUAUGACUCAGGGAACUUAAACAGGGGCUCUGUGACAGGAUGAAGGGUGAGAUGGGGAGGGAGAUGGGAGAAGGGUCUGGGAGGGAGGGGACAUGGGUGUACUAUGGCUGAUUCUUAUUGAUGUAUGAUAGAAAGCCACAAAAUUCUGUAAAGCAAUUAUCCUUCAAUUAAAAAACUUAUAUAUAUAUAUAUAAAAGAAUCCCCUUUCCAAUGCAGGAGACCUGGGUUCCGUCCCUAGCUGGAGAACUAAGAUACCACCUGUGGCAGACCAAGACCAUGAGGGGCAACGAAAGAUCCCAACUGUUGCAACUAAGACCUGACACAGCCAAUGAAUAAAUAAAUACUUUUAAAAAAAGCA